rnacentral:tRNA from 1 species
GGUACAGCUCAGUUGGUAGAGUUCUUGCCUUGGAGGCACAAGGCCCUGGGUUCAAUCCCCAGCACCA